rnacentral:rRNA from 1 species
UACGUAGGGUGCAAGCGUUAAUCGGAAUUACUGGGCGGAAAGCGUGCGCAGGCGGUUUUGUAAGUCUGACGUGAAAUCCCCGGGCUCAACCUGGGAAUUGCGUUGGAGACUGCAAGGCUAGAAUCUGGCAGAGGGGGGUAGAAUUCCACGUGUAGCAGUGAAAUGCGUAGAGAUGUGGAGGAACACCGAUGGCGAAGGCAGCCCCCUGGGUCAAGAUUGACGCUCAUGCACGAAAGCGUGGGGAGCGAACAGG